rnacentral:rRNA from 1 species
GAUGAACGCUGGCGGCGUGCUUAACACAUGCAAGUCGAACGUGAGAGGUAGCAAUAUCUUGAAAGUGGCGAACGGGUGAGUAACACGUAGGUGACCUGCCUCGGAGCGGGGGGAUAACAGUUAGAAAUGACUGAAACUAUACCGCAUGAAUCCACUGGGAUGGGAAGAAUGGUGGAGAAAACUCUGGUGCUUCGAGAGGGGCCUGCGGUCGAUUAGCUAGUUGGUGGGUAAAGGCCUACCAAGGCGACGAUCGAUAGCUGGUCUGAGAGGACGAUCAGCCACACGGGAACUGAGACACGGUCCCGACUCCUACGGGGGGCAGCAGUGAGGAAUAUUGGGCAAUGGGCGGAAGCCUGACCCAGCAACGCCGCGUGGAGGAAUGAAGGCCUUCGGGUUGGUAAACUACCUUUUAGUCAGGGGAAGGAGGAAGGACGGUACCG